AGCGAACGCUGGCGGCAGGCUUAACACAUGCAAGUCGAGCGGGCACUUUCGGGUGUCAGCGGCGGACGGGUGAGUAACGCGUGGGAACGUGCCCUCUGGUUCGGAAUAACUCAGGGAAACUUGGGCUAAUACCGGAUACGCCCUUUUGGGGAAAGGCUUGCUGCCGGAGGAUCGGCCCGCGUCUGAUUAGCUAGUUGGUGAGGUAACGGCUCACCAAGGCGACGAUCAGUAGCUGGUCUGAGAGGAUGAUCAGCCACACUGGGACUGAGACACGGCCCAGACUCCUACGGGAGGCAGCAGUGGGGAAUAUUGGACAAUGGGCGCAAGCCUGAUCCAGCCAUGCCGCGUGAGUGAUCAAGGCCUUAGGGUUGUAAAGCUCUUUUAUCCGGGACGAUAAUGACGGUACCGGAGGAAUAAGCCCCGGCUAACUUCGUG
rnacentral:rRNA from 1 species